GCAGUAGCCGCGGUAAUACAGAGGGUGCAAGCGUUAAUCGGAAUUACUGGGCGUAAAGCGCGCGUAGGUGGUUUGUUAAGUUGGAUGUGAAAGCCCCGGGCUCAACCUGGGAACUGCAUCCAAAACUGGCAAGCUAGAGUACGGUAGAGGGUGGUGGAAUUUCCUGUGUAGCGGUGAAAUGCGUAGAUAUAGGAAGGAACACCAGUGGCGAAGGCGACCACCUGGACUGAUACUGACACUGAGGUGCGAAAGCGUGGGGAGCAAACAGGAUUAGAUACCCCUGUAGUCCCUGUCUCUUAUAU
rnacentral:rRNA from 1 species